rnacentral:rRNA from 1 species
UACGUAGGGGCCAGCGUUGUCCGGAAUCAUUGGGCGUAAAGAGCGCGUAGGCGGCCAGAUAAGUCCGGUGUGAAAGUCAAAGGCUCAACCUUUGAAUGCCGCUGGAAACUGUCUGGCUAGAGUCCGGGAGGGGCGAGUGGAAUUCCUGGUGUAGCGGUGAAAUGCGUAGAUAUCGGGAGGAACACCAGUGGCGAAGGCGACUACCUGGCCUGUUCUGACGCUGAGGCGCGAAAGCUAGGGGAGCAAACGGGGAU